AGCAAGCGGACCAAGGCAUACACGGCGGCUGAGGACAAGCUUCUUUGCGAGUGUUAGAGAGACAUUGGGCAAGACCCCAAGACGGGCGCCGAACAAAAGCUUUCAACUUUUUGGAUUCGUGUCCACCGUGAGUUCCAUGAGCGCAAGAAGUUUCCGCCGUACCAAAUAGUAAGCACGCGCGGGGUGGGUGUCCAUUUCGAAGCGAUGGAGGGUGAUCCAACAAGAGUGCAACAAGUUUUGUGCCACUCUUGA
rnacentral:rRNA from 1 species